rnacentral:rRNA from 1 species
GACGAAAGUCUGACGGAGCAACGCCGCGUGUAUGAUGAAGGUCUUCGGAUUGUAAAGUACUGUCUUUGGGGAAGAACGGUCUCUUUGAGAAUAUUGAAGGGACAUGACGGUACCCAAGGAGGAAGCCCCGGCUAACUACGUGCCAGCAGCCGCGGUAAUACGUAGGGGGCAAGCGUUGUCCGGAAUUAUUGGGCGUAAAGGGCGCGUAGGCGGAUGUUUAAGUCCGGUGUGAAAGAUCAGGGCUCAACCCUGAGAGUGCAUCGGAAACUGGGCAUCUUGAGGACAGGAGAGGAAAGUGGAAUUCCACGUGUAGCGGUGAAAUGCGUAGAUAUGUGGAGGAACACCAGUGGCGAAGGCGACUUUCUGGACUGUAACUGACGCUGAGGCGCGAAAGCGUGGGGAGCAAACAGGAUUAGAUACCCUGGUAGACCACGCCGUAAACGAUGAGUGCUAGGUGUAGAGGGUAUCGACCCCUUCUGUGCCGCAGUUAACACAAUAAGCACUCCGCCUGGGGAGUAC